GGGAAAGGCAGCGGGGGAGAAGGAGUCGGUCUGGAGGGAUGGGGGCAGCUGGUGAUGGGGUUCAUCUCCAGGGUCACCACGCUGCGCUGUAAAAAAAAAAAAACUACGACCAAACGGAACGGGCUGUCGGUCAGGUGACCAAAACAUUCCGUUGUCAGCAUUUGCCUUCGGUUUUAAUCAUGCGAUUGUUGUUUGAAGAAAAAAAAAAAAAAGAAGAAGAAAAAAAAAAAGAGUGCAUGUAUUCUCACGCAGCUACACGACUGACUGAGUUGCAACCUGUGUUUCAUUUUAAUGAUGCUCAUUCAUGUUUUUGUUUUUAAUCCAUACAAUUAACUGUUAAAGAAAGGUGUCUAUAAACGAUUACUCGCUUCAGCUUCGCCAACUCACUUACUCAUGCAAUCUAUACAGCAGCCUUCCCAGAAGAGGGGGGGAAAAUAAAGCAAAGGUCAAGCAUAGAAAGACCAGCGUUUACUCAGCACUGCGUUGAACAGGCCGAGGAUGUUCAUUUGUUACCUCCACACCGGUGCAUCGUGCAGGCGGCGUGUUGUCUUUUUACCCUCAGUGAAGUCCAAGCGGCGGAUUCGCUCGUCAGCUCCAGUCCGCCUGUCAGUUAGUGAUUGCGUUGUCUCGUGCGCGUCGUCUCUGAUCAUGCAGUCUUUUAUGAGUCAAGAAAAAGAUCCUUGUCUGUAUGUAUAUUUUUUAUGAUUGUUAUUUUUUCAUAACUGUGCCACUGCGGGUGUUGCAGUGCUUUUGAAUCUGUGAUCGGGCUUCAGACGAUAUGUUCUCAAUAGCUUUUUUUGCUAUUUUCAUGUUACGUGUCCGAUGGGUCAAAAAGGUUACGGAUGUUUUCAUCAAUAAAAUAUCUGAAAACCAGAUUUUUUUUUUUCCCGUCUCUCGUUAUUCAUUUGUUGGACUGCAUUUGGGGAGGGGGGGAGAGAAAACCACUGCCACACACAAAAAGAUGCUUAUUAGCCGAUAAUCUCAUUGGCAGCGAGAGCGAAGGCUUUUCCC
ensembl:lncRNA